rnacentral:ncRNA from 1 species
AUCCUAUCUCGAUUUAAUCGAGAAAAAGGUGUCCUUCUCGACAGUGAUGUCGGGAUUAGCAUCCAGCUAUAUCGGGGAAACUCCAAACAAUAUAGAUAUCUACCAAUCUGUUUGGACAAUCCCGAGGGAAGUAUUUCAUUUUGAAGAGAUGGCGAAAUACCCCGUAGAGACUAGAAUUUAAUCGUGAUAAUAGUUAUUGAUCUGAUGGUUAAGUUCAUAACGCUGGAUCUCUGAAGUCGCGGCUAAAACGAAUUUUUCACGAGCAAUCGUGGAGGAAUUUGUUCAAAUGAAAAAAAGCCGAUGGCAAAAAUACAGAGAAUGAUAUAGUCCAAUCCGUGUAGUAAUAUACGG